UUGUCGAAGUCCAGCGGCUGGCGGAUGGGCAAUUGUUUUCAUAAUUUUAAGAUGGGCGACCGGUCGAAAUCUGUUGUGGAUUGACCUACCGCGGGAUAAAUCGGAGGCCGCAGACGGGGGCAGCUUCUGCGGGUGGAUGUUGGCAGCCAUACCAAAAGAAGAUGGCCGUGUUGUUGUGGGUAAUGGUCACUCCCUUCGAUAGCUGUGCAACUGUGGUUCCCGGUCGCUGUCAGUUCUACCAAUAUGUCUUGCCUAAGAACCAGGACACGCCAGUGGAGCCUCAGCGGAUGCCGGUGGCCCUAGCCUAAAGCUGUCCAAAGCACUGGAUCGGCUUUUUUUAAAUUUUCAGUGAACCUCCAAGCCAAAGCCACCGGCGGCUACUGCAACUUCUUCGGGAUGUCCCGAUUCUGCAGCAUAACACAUUUAUACAACUGUCGACGACUGGGAGUGGCCACUUACCUCAGCAACACGGCCAUCCACUGCUGGUAAAGCUAUUAAAAUCCACCCGCAGAUGCAUUCCUAGUCUAAACAACGUCCGACCCUAGGGGUUGGACAGAAUUAAUGGGUUAACAAUUCGUCAAUCUAUUGACGACGGUUUUGAUAUUUUCGUCAAUACUUUAACGAAAGGUUGAGCCAGCGUUCCCACCGUGUAGUUUUGACCUCGGUUAAAAUUGACAGCUUAAUUGUUUAUAAACAAAAACAUGUGUUUUUUUACUCGUGCGCAACAACAGGUGCCAUCUCUCCGGUGGAAAUUACGACCUCAACAAGAAUACCGAAGAAGGCGGCCUUUAACAACUCAAUCGUUUCGAGUGAAAAUUCCAGACCAAACCAGCGGAACCAAUCAAACUUCCAGAAGCGCCUUCAGCACGCAGGUCGGCCGCUUCGAAAAAGGUGCAGCAAAACCAAGCCGGAUGGUGCUUCUGUUCAAAGUUAUCUGAAGGAUAAUUUAGUAACGGAAACGUUUCUCCUGAAACACUGCACCAACUCGGACGAGUUAAAUUUAUCUCGAAUGUGCCGCUGCUGUCGUGGGGCCCAAGCUUAACUUUUUGCAUCUUGUGCUUGGAACUGCUUGGCAUUGAGAACUCGAUCUUUACUCUGUCCAGCCUGCGCAAUUACAACAUGCUACGCAGUCGCGGCUCUCUAGGAAGCUCUGCAGUACAUCUUUGGCAGCCAGCGUAGCAAAGACUACGGUGCCCGGAGAAUGUCGGCCUUAAGGAAAUUAUGCGUGUAUUCGAUCGGGAACAACUGUAAUCUGAAGAAACUGAUGCCGUGCCCGCGUCGGCGGCAAUCUCGGCAUAAACUAUAGAACUCCUGGCUAAUCCAACCCGGGACAACAUACUGCGCUACUGCAAGUACCUUCUACGUAAGCAAGAAUACGAAGAGGUCUCUUGGACGGACCUGCUGGCAACUAUCCCGGUCAUCCGGAACCCGAAAACCAAACUAUACGACACUAUUGACCGCAACGACCCGGUCCAACUCAAUGAGUUCCUCAAGCUGCUCUCGCUUUUGUUCGAAUCAAACGCCUCGUCUGCUAGCGGGAAGACGGCCGCCGCGAGGAGUCUGUGCCAGUCGAUGAAGAACAUCAGCGACUUUGUGCUGCUGUAAAAGUCCUGGGAGACGAGACUGCUGAUCGCAUAUGUGUUAUAUUUCCAGUGAUUGUAUGUCGAUAUCGAUUAAAAUCAUCAAAAAAAACUCCAACACCCCCCAAACUCCCCCCUCCAUCCACCCACUCUCACCAAGAUUUUUAUUUUGUUAAGAUUGAAAGAUAAGAGCAUUUCGUCUAUCGAAGAUACCCUAGAUAAUUUGGGCAAAUUGAAGAAUUUUAGGAACAUUCAGUCACUGCCGGUUCUUGCCAAGACCGCGCCAAGAUUCGUUCGUUCAGCUUGAGGUGAUUUCGCUUUUCGACGAGCUCGGCUAGGAAGACCAGAUUCUCGAAGAAGGCGACCGUGCUGGAACUUGAGUUGAAUGUUUCGUUCGCCAAUGCGGACGACGUGCUUCCAACACGUGGACCAGCAGGAUUUGGUAGCUUGGGAGACCCCGAAAAAGAAGCCAAACUUUAGCACCAGAAUGCUAUCUGCGAUCUUGCCA